GUCUCUUCACAGCAAUAGAACAGUAACUAAGAGAGUGAUGUCAUAAUUCUCUGAUCCUUCUUCUAGGUUUCCAUUCUCCCAGGUCACAGAAUCUUGUUGUUUUUUAACAGACCUAAGAAAACUUGGAAAAAGAAGGAGAGACAUAUUGGCCCUGGCUCAAGUACCUACCCAUUCCCUAAAUUCUUAAAGUGUUGUGGCGGAGUCGUGAGACCUCAAGCAAGACCACCACAGAGCCUAUAUCUGAAGCAAAACACAAAGGGGUUUAUUGAUAACAAGCAAAUCUGGGCUUGGUCCAUGUCCAACAUCCUACACAGCGGGUGGAGGAGGAUGGCCCUGAGCUCUCAGGCUGCCAGUGCCUCGGUGUCCAAAGCUGAAAAGGAUGUCCUGAGGACAGUCCAGGUAACCUCUAGGAACUGCUUGAAGAUGAGAGGCGCACAGACUGACUGGCUGCUCCGCAUUACUUCCCCUGGGAUCAUUCUGCUGUUUCCAGCAAGCUUGAGAUAAUCUCUAUGUGGUGAAAAAUCUUCCUGAAAUUUAAAGUAUAAGG